GACGAACGCUGGCGGCGUGCCUAAUACAUGCAAGUAGGACGCACUUGCGAAUGGGUGAGUAACGCGUAGGCAACAACCUAUUAGAGGGGGAUAACUAUUGGAAACGAUAGCUAAUACCGCAUACUAGUAGAUGGACCUGCGUUGUAGUAGCUAGUAGGUAGGGUAAUGGCCUACCUAGGCAACGAUACAUAGCCGAACUGAGAGGGUGGUCGGCCACACUGGGACUGAGGCACGGCCCAGAGUCACACGGGAGGCAGCAGUAGGGAAUCGUCAGCAAGUGGGGGAAACCUGAGCAAGCAACGCCGCGGGAGUGAAGAGGGUUUUCGGGUCGUAAAGCUAUGUUGUUGAGGAAGCGGUACUUAAACAGAAAGGGACGGCUAACUACGUGCCAGCAGCCGCGGUAAUUC
rnacentral:rRNA from 1 species